rnacentral:rRNA from 1 species
ACUCAAAGGAAUAGACGGGGGCCCGCACAAGCAGCGGAGCAUGUGGUUUAAUUCGAAGCAACGCGAAGAACCUUACCAGGUCUUGACAUCCAGGUAAACUUGCAGAGAUGCAAGGUGUGCUUGCACAAUCUGAGACAGGUGGUGCAUGGUUGUCGUCAGCUCGUGUCGUGAGAUGUUGGGUUAAGUCCCGCAACGAGCGCAACCCUUGUGAUUAGUUACUAACGGGUAAAGCCGAGGACUCUAAUAAGACUGCCGGGGACAACUCGGAGGAAGGUGGGGACGACGUCAAAUCAUCAUGCCCCUUAUGACCUGGGCUACACACGUGCUACAAUGGCCACGACAGAGAGCAGCGAUACCGUAAGGGGGAGCUAAUCUCAUAAAAGUGGUCCCAGUUCGGAUUGUGGGCUGCAACCCGCCCACAUGAAGUCGGAGUUGCUAGUAAUCGCGGAUCAGCAUGCCGCGGUGAAUACGUUCCCGGGCCUUGCACACACCGCCCGU